CCUACGGGAGACAGCAGUGAGGAAUAUUGGUCAAUGGGCGCGAGCCUGAACCAGCCAAGUAGCGUGAAGGAUGACUGCUCUACGGGUUGUAAACUUCUUUUAUAAAGGAAUAAAGUGAGGCACGUGUGCCUUUUUGCCCGUACUUUAUGAAUAAGGAUCGGCUAACUACGUGCAAGCAGCCGCGGUAAUACGGAGGUUCCGAGCGUUAUCCGGAUUUAUUGGGUGUAAAGGGAGCGUAGAUGGCUUGGUAAGUCAGUGGUGAAAGUCUGCGGCUCAACCGUGAAAUUGCAAUUGAUACUGGCAGUCUGGAGUGCAGGUGAGGUAGGCGGAAUUCGUGGUGUAGCGGUGAAAUGCGUAGAUAUCAGGAAGAACUCCGAUUGCGAAGGCAGCUUACUAAACUGCCACUGACAUUGAUGCUCGAAAGUGUGGGUAUCAAACAGGAUUAGAUACCCCAGUAGUC
rnacentral:rRNA from 1 species